AUAACCUGGCAAUAUGUGUCAAAGAAGAAUGUUUUAAUUUGAUAACAACAGUGAAUAAAAUUAUCUCCAUUUCAGGGUACAAUCACAUUACCUCCAGGUAUUGUACCAGGACAGGGGGCGGUACUCAUGAAAAAUGAGCAAGGGCAGAUUGUGAUAGUCCAGCCUGGCUCACUUCCAGGCCAUAAUCCAGUUUCUUCAGUAACGAUCUCAAGCAGUACAACACAACAGAAAGUUCAGUAUGUUAGGGUAAGUCUCUUCAACCUUGACAAAUAUGAACAACAUUGUUAUGGUGUGUGACUUGACAAGUCUUAGUACAUGUUUGUUAAGUUUUUACGUCGAUAUUUACAUGUUUUGUGGUCAUAUCUGAGCAGUGGAUCCCAGACUUCCCGAAAUACGUCGGUCCGACGGACAUGUCCGAUAAAUUUUGAUCAGGUCCGACGAGUUUUUACUCCGGAUCGGUCCGACUGUCCGGCUUUUAUCCAAGCCGCAUGUAUACAAAAUGGCGUCGCUAAAGGUGACAAACCUUGGAAAAAUUAAAAAUCUACGUCAGAGGAACAGGCAGAACAGCAGUAAAAGGAUAAAAAGAAUGACUAAAGAGGAAGUCGACCUAACUUUAUGUUUUACGUGUACAUGUAGGCAUUAGAGGGACAUGGAUGUACUGUCCAUCUACAGAUCUCUCAAAUUACUGACGCGAUUCUAAUUAGAUGACAUAAGAAUAAGCAAAAACACUGACAGGAAAGUUGCAAUUGAUGACUUUCCAAGCGACAGCCCGUGUGACAGGUAUUUGAAUGUUGGAAAUUUAUUUGGAAGAGACACAUAUGUCCGUUUGACACGUCAGUGUGAGUAUGUUUUCACCUCGAUGAUUGAACUUUUCGAUGGAUUUCAAACCAUAGAGGCAAGUAUUUUAUUUCCUUUAAAAAUUAUUUUAUUUACAUUAUAAUUUAAAGGUAUUUAUUAGUUAUUGUUAAAGAAUGACUUUUUAAUGAUAGUUUGGUAAUAUUAGGUACUUUAUGUUCAAAAUUCUAUACGAGAGUUUCACGAAAGUUACAAGUAAAUAAAAAAUACAUGUCGUUAAAUUCUGAAGAAUUCUGCAUGAAAUAGUAAUUUAGUAAAUAAAUGUUGCAUAACAUGUUAAGAUUAUCUGUAAUGCCCAUUACAGGAAUACGUGACACAUUGGUUUAAUAGAAGGAAGAUGCGAAAGCUUGGGUUUUUGGUGACCGUUGGUGUGUAUUCGCAUGGUAUCAUUAUCAAUGAAGAUGGAAGUGUCAGUUUGUUUGACUCCCAUGGACAGCUGAAAUACGAAGGAAAAGUGAUCACGUCUUUGGCCGGAGCUUUGAAUUUUCCUUCGGUCAAAGAGCUUGCUGUUUUUUUAUAAGUAUGUAUGGUGAGGGCAGAAGCGCUGCAAUUGCUCUGGUCAGUGUGCGUUCCCCCGGAUCAUCUCACAGAGGGGUUUGCAAGAAUGCCACUGAUCAUGAGCAAGCUGAGUUUGGUUAUCAACCAUUCUGCAUGAAAGCAACUGACACUUCGGCGAGCUAUAUCCUGCCAGAAAUCCAAGUAGAAGGCGAGAGCGUAAAUGAGAAUGUGAAAGUAUUGGAGGAAGAUGAUGUGUCACCGUAUGUUAUGCUUUUAGGAGGUGGGACAUAGAGCGCAGGGCCGAGUGAGAUGGAGGAGGGAGGAGACGGAGGAGGGAGGGGCUAGCAAGUUCUGUCAGGAUGAAUAAAUGCGCAGGGCCGAGUGAGACGGAUGAGGGAGGGGCUAGCAAGUUCUGUCGUGAUGAAUAAAUGCGCAGGGCCGAGUUAGACGGAGGAGGGAGGGGCUAGCUAGUUCUGUCGGGAUGAAAAAAUGGAUACGAGAGGACAGAAUGCGGGUAGAAAGAUAUGUCGAGAAUGUUGUCCCGAAUUACUCUGACAUAAGUUUUCAAAGGCAUUUCCGACUGUCUCGUGAUACUUUCAACAUAGUUCAUGAUCAAUUAAAAGAAUGUCAAGAGUUUGUUGUACAAGCUCGCCAGCAGUUCCAGUCGCUAAACAGUUAAUGAUCACCUUGUGGUACUAAGUGACACACGAUACAAUACAUCGUCUGUCAGAUAGGUUCUGGGUUUCAGAAGAUACCAUCCUGAACUCCCGGGACUCUGUUAUUGCACCAGUUAAAAGACAUUUGAGAACAAAAAUUAUAAGCUGGCCAACACAGCAAGAAAAACAAGUCAUUAAAGAUCAUUAUGAAAGAAAAAAUGGGUUCCCCAAUAUUAUUGGGAGUUUAGAUGGCACACACAUUAGAAUAAGUGCUCCAAGAGAGAACCAAAAAUCAUACAUAAAUCGCAAAGGAUUCCAUUCUAUUCAACUGCAGGCUGUCUGUAGAGAAGAUUUAACAUUUACUUACUGUUUUACCAGUUUCCUCGGGCGUGUUCAUGAUUCAAGAGUAUUGAACAAAUUCUGAUUUAGGGGAUCAUGGACAAGAGCUAUGCGGAGAUGACCAUAUCUUAGCUGAUGGUGGAUAUCCAUUACAGACAUGGUUAUUAACACCCUACUGGGACAAUGGAUUUUUUAACCUUUAACCAGAGACAUUUCAACUUCUUGCUGUCUUCAAAUCGAGUGUCCAUAGAACGAGCCUUUAGGCUUUUAAAGGGUAGAUUUCCGCGCCUUACAAGCUUGGUUGUGAAUAGGGUAGAGACAGUUGUGGACAUUAUUAUGGCUUGUUGUGUUUUGCAUAAUGUUUGCAUUCAGCAAUCCGAUAUUAAAGAUGAAUUUAUGCAAAGAGACAAUGCUCCUGUCAGAUUAAAUGUUGGUCAUGGAAUUCAACCUCCUGCAGAGGGUAUUCUGAAAAGGGAUAACAUUGCAGCCAACUUACAGUAAAAAGAACAACUGAAAUGUGUAGAUUUUCUUAACUUUAUUUGGUGUACAGUAUGUGUAAAUACGGAAUAUGAAUUCAUAUACGCGAAUAUGAACGAGAGAUUAUUUUCAUAAAAUCAGCUCUUCUGAGACUAUUUUCGUCAACAGAUACUAUUUAUACUUUUCUUGUAUCGUAUGUCUUUGAGUGAAAGAAAAUAAAUUUCUAAUAUUGUU